rnacentral:lncRNA from 13 species
UUGCUUUAUUUUUGAACACAGCAGAGUUCAAUAUUAUCAAAUGUUUGUCAGUUUCCUUACAAAUAUGAAGACUGCAUACUGAAUGACACAGAAACAGGUAAGAAUAAAGUAAUCUUCUCUCUAACACUUUAAAUGUUAGGGGUGGACCACAUCGGACCCUUCACGAAAUCCAGGAAUGGCAACAGCUGGUGUCUAACGGCAACCGAUUACUUCACCAAGUGGGCGGAGGCAAUACCCAUUAAGGACAAGAAUGGUGAGGCCACCUCCAAGGCGAUGACAGACAUCUUCAACACCCACAGUGCUCCUGAGGUCAUCUUGAGUGACCGAGGUCGUGAACUCUGGAACAAGAACAACAAAGCCUUGUUCGAGGACUGGGGUGUGAAGCACCGGUUCUCCGAUGCAUAUCAUCCACAGACAGACCAACGGUUUGGAUGAACGGACCAACCAGACCCUCAGGACUGCCAUGGGCAAGUCCCUUGACGGGUACCAGGAAUGGUGGUGAGGACAACCUGAAGGUAAUUCUCUUUGCACACAACAGCAGUGUCUAGGCCUCCACCAAGUACUCACCCUAUUGCCUGUUGUACGGACGGGAGCUGCAGCUGUUGACUGCGGUAAACAAUGCAAUUGUAUAUACAAUUUUAUAAAAUUAUGGCAUAUUCUGUAAUCAUUCAAAUUUGUGAUUGACUUAAUGUGUUAUUGUUUGUCUAUUGCUAUUUUUGAAUAACAUACUUUCAGAUCACAGAAACUCCACCUGAUGUGGUGGAAGUUGUGAAACCAGAUCAGAAUGCCUUCGAGGACUACAUUCAGGCACAGGCUGAGAAGGUUUUUGACCAGGUACAUUUUUUUGUCUGCUGUUAAUUUAUUUUCUGGCCCUCCAAGAGAUUUGUAAGGUAUGUAUUUGUAAUAAUAUGAAAUAAAUUUGCAUUUAUUUCUGUUAUCAUUCAAGGUGAGACUGAACAUCGACAAUGUUCAGGAUGAGCAGGAGAGCUACCGGAGGAAAAUCAAGAAGAGGACCAUGUGCUUCGACAUCCGGGCGAAUGACUUGGUUUGGAAGAAGGAUGAAACGAAGGUGAGACCUGGGAAACCUCGUUGCUCUUUCGCUCCUAGCUGGAGUCAUCCUCCGUUAAGGUGAAUAUAAAGCAUCUCAGAUAAUAACUAUUUGAAUUUGCACCCAAAAUAACCUGAAGCUAGUCUAGUUUUCCUAACACUGACAUUUCUCUUUAUGUCUUCAUAAGGGUUACCUCGGUGGAAGCCAACAAUCUUCUCCAGUCGGAAGGUCGACAACUGAAAGCCCUGACGCCCUACACUUCGGUGAAGCCUGUGAGACAAAGAAUGUUAAGCGUUGGUUGACAUUUGAGAAAGCAAGACAUUUUUAGCUGAACUCAUAAAAAUGUACCUCCCCAAAUGACUUUAGGACCAUCAACUGUCCAAACCACACAGGAGGUAUCCCAUCCACCAGAGCCAGUGAGUUCGGAUCAGUCUGAUUCUCUGUGCUCUGAGUCAGAAGGGGACCAGCUUGAGGUCGGCUAUACUUUCAAAAUCUGUUGAAAACUACAUAUCUCUCCUUCAUAACAUUGCACUAAUCUGUCAAAUGUUCUCACAAGAGGCUUGUGUCCGACUGGAGGAACAGGGACAGGUAGGUUCAGUCACUGGACUAGAAGACACUAGUGAGGUUCUCAUCACUAGUGUCCAACAGGGGCAGGUAAGGCCAACUGCUCUCUCAGGCCGGAUGGAGGACCUCCGGGAGGGGAGG